UGUUCGAGCCCCUCUGCGGCAGUGCGCUGCAGAGGCCAAUCAAGAUCA
rnacentral:SRP_RNA from 1 species